rnacentral:rRNA from 1 species
GUGCCAGCAGCCGCGGUAAAACGUAGGUCCCGACGUUGUUCGGAUUCACUGGGUGUAAAGGGCGCGUAGGCGGUUGUUUGUGUCUCAUGUGAAAACUCAGGGCUCAACUCUGAGAUUGCGUGGGAAACUAAGCAGCUAAGAGGACGGUAGAGGGGAGUGGAAUUCCCGGUGUAGCGGUAAAAUGCGUAGAUAUCGGGAAGAACACCGGUGGCGAAGGCGGCUCUCUGGGCCGAUCCUGACGCUGAGGCGCGAAAGCUAGGGGAGCGAACCGGAUUAGAUACCCGGGUAGUCC